GGGCCAUUAGCUCAGUUGGCAGAGCACCCGCCUUUUAAGCGGGGUGUCGAUGGUUCGAGUCCAUCAUGGCCCACCA
rnacentral:tRNA from 1 species